GCGUCAUGGUCUUAUGUUUGAUAGGUUGUUCCUCAAUUUGACAGGAAAAGGUCGUAAAGUUCACCAAAGUCAGUCCAGAUAUUUAGAGAAUAUUUGAACAAGAGAGGAAAAUGAAGCUGAUUUUCUUUCUUCUUGUCCUCUUGAAAAGCGGAAUAAAUUCAACCGAAGGACUCCAUGUGCUUUAUUCAUCAGAGAGAAUUAUUUUAAAAUAUUUCUUUAACCCAGCCUUUCAAAGUCAUGAAAUAUCUUGCUGUAAGUUCAGUCAGUCACUCUGCUUCUUCUUUGUGAAUAAUAGAAGACAAGUUGCCUCCAUGUAUCGAGGAAGAAUAUUUGUCACAAAUAACAAUGGAGAAUUUGAAGUAAUAAUUACAAAUCUGAGUGUAAUGGAUGCUGGCAUGUACAGAUGUGGUUUCAGUGGGUUCCCUAAGACCUAUGAGUAUGUGGAAGUUACCGUUUCUGAUCUAAGUGGAGUAAACACAGCUCCUCUCUGGCCAAAAUCCGUCAUUAUACCAACAGUCAGCCCGUCUUAUUCUCCCUCUGCACCCAUUGCUUCUGAGAAUGAUGCAGAGACACUCAGCAGUGGCAGCUGGAGAACAUCCUUCAGUCUAGCUGCUGUUUUUAGUCUUCUGGUGUUUGCUGUCAUCUCAAUGACACUGCUCGUGUAUUGUCUAAAAACCAGGAAGAAAAAAUCCACAGAUAAAAGUGAAGUCUGUGGUUCUCCUAACACCACACUGGAGCAGGACGGCAUUAUCUACUCUAUGGUGGAGUUUGAGCCCCACCAGGAUCCAUAUGAACUUUAUGCCAAUUUGCAGCUAUACAGCCCAAAAGAUGCUAAUGCUUCUUCAAGCUGUACAGUCACAGUAAAGGAAACCGUAGAAUAUUCCACUAUUAUGAGAUCAUCAGCAUAGACAUUUGCAAUGUUUGUGUUCAAUGUAUUCAUUGCUAUGAUUUGUUUUUGUUGUUGUUGCUUUUGUUUGCUUGAGGGAUUUGUUUCUUACAAGAUUUUUUUAACUAUAUUUUUAAUGCAACAUUGUACUGAUACUGUAGUAAUUAUUUUAUUCUUGAAAAUGUCAUUAUGAUGAUUAAUGCCUGAAAAUUUCUAUAUAGUAAAAUGUGUAUUAUCUAAAAAUUAGUUACUUUUAACUCUUAAACAAUUUAUGUAUUUUGACUCAUGUGGGUGUUUGACUUAGAAAGACAUAGAAACACACAGGAUGACAAUUUGUGAUGCAGUAAUUAUAAUUUUAUUUUGGAUGAACAGAGAACCUUUCAAUCAUGAAUCUCUAUUUAGAUGUCGAAAUAGGUGAAAACCAGUUUUUGCAAUCCAGUGCUUCUUUAGGCAGCAAAAUGUAGGCCCAUCAGAAUCUACUAAUUCUGUUUGAGCGAGACAACAUAAACAUAUGUGGUGACAGAUGUUGUAUGUGAUGUAUUAUGUUAGUAUCGAAUGGGAUUUAAGGGAUACUGGGAUAAUCAAGGACACUCAAAUGAAUCAAGACUACCAGUUUACAAAAACCAUAUCAAAUAAAUUCAGCAAUGAGAUUUUAUGGCACCCUUACUUUGUCUUCAUCGAGGUCCUAGGUAGGCAGAUUGUUGACCUGUCCAUGUUGAUCUGCCAGCAGGUCUCAGAGGUGAAGAGAAUCCAUUGCAUUUACUACAGACUUCAGAGGAACAAUCUUUCUUGUCAUUUUUUUUUAAUUCUAUGAACUGAAACUAGAUUGAAAAAAGAUUGAACUGGUCAUAUAGAACAGUUAUAGACUAUUAAACAGAAGUGAAACUUAAAAAGGGGGGAUCAAAUAGUCAUCUUUUCGUCAUACAUCGUUGACUGUUGUGGGCUAAUGACUGUUGUGGGCUAAUUUAAUAUUGACCACCAUUCUUCCUGUUCUUGUUGUUACACUUCUAUUUUACAUUUUUUACAUAAACCAAAUGUUUUAAAUGGUAUAUUCUAAUGAAUAUAAUUUCCCAUUCUGACAGUAAAAAUUAGACAAAAAUAUGUUUAGCGAUGUCUUUAGGGGCAUGUAUUGACACUAAUGCAUGGUAAACAAUGAUCAUGUAUUUUAGUUGUAAUAUUUUAUUGUUGUAUUAUAUGAUGUUUUUAUAGAAAUUUUCCAAAUAGAUUUGGAAUAUUACAAUAUUAUGGCAUUUUAUGCAAUUUCUACAAUUAUUUUGCUGUCUUUACUGGACAAAUAUAGUAUUUAGAGAAAUGCCUUUUUUGUAUUAAGCAUCAGAUAUUUCAUCUAAUGAAACACUUAUAGUUUGCUUAUAAUCUUAAAUUAUAUGAUCCCUUUUGAUCUCAGUCUACCUUCAACAUUAGAUGUGAAUUUCAAAGAGAGUCAGGGU
ensembl:lncRNA